rnacentral:rRNA from 1 species
GGGCCCGCACAAGCGGUGGAGCAUGUGGUUUAAUUUGAUGCAACGCGAAGAACCUUACCAGGGUUUGACAUGACAGGAAUUUUUCUGAGAAGAGAAAGUGCCUUUUUUAGGAACCUGUAUACAGGUGGUGCAUGGCUGUCGUCAGCUCGUGUCGUGAGAUGUUGGGUUAAGUCCCGCAACGAGCGCAACCCUUGUUUUUAGUUACUUUUCUAGAAAGACUGCCGGUUAUAAGCCGGAGGAAGGCGGGGACGACGUCAAGUCAGCAUGCCCCUUACACCCUGGGCUACACACGUGCUACAUUGGAUAAGACAAUGAGUCGCGAACCUGUGAAGGUCAGCAAAUCUAUAAACUUAUUCUAAGUUCGGAUUGUAGGCUGCAACUCGCCUACAUGAAGCUGGAAUCGCUAGUAAUCG